AGGCAGCAGUGGGGAAUAUUGGACAAUGGGGGCAACCCUGAUCCAGCCAUGCCGCGUGUGUGAAGAAGGCUUUCGGGUUGUAAAGCACUUUCAGUGAGGAGGAAAACCUUACGACUAAUACUCGUGAGGCUUGACGUUACUCACAGAAGAAGCACCGGCUAACUCC
rnacentral:rRNA from 1 species